rnacentral:rRNA from 1 species
GAUGAACGCUGGCGGCGUGCCUAAUACAUGCAAGUCGAGCGAACGGACGAGAAGCUUGCUUCUCUGAUGUUAGCGGAGGACGUGUGAGUAACACGUGGAUAACCUACCUAUAAGACUGGGAUAACUUCGGGAAACCGGAGCUAAUCCCGGAUGAUAUUUUGAACCGCAUGGUUCAAAAGUGAAUGACGGUCUUGCUGUCACUUAUAGAUGGAUCCGCGCUGCAUUAGCUAGUUGGUAAGUUAACGGCUUACCAAGGCAACGAUGCAUAGCCGACCGGAGAGGGGGAUCGGCCACACUGGAACUGAGACACGGUCCAGACUCCUACGGGAGGCAGCAGUAGGGAAUCUUCCGCAGUGGGCGGAAGCCUGACGGAGCAACGCCGCGUGAGUGAUGAAGGUCUUCGGAUCGUAAAACUCUGUUAUUAGGGAAGAACAUAUGUGUAAGUAACUGUGCACAUCUUGACGGUACCUAAUCAGAAAGCCACGGCUAACUACGUG